AAAUCAACUAAAAAAUAAAGAAAAGAAAAAAAGAGCAAACGAAAAAAUAAAGGAAUUAACGGAGGGGGAGGGGGAAAACCACAAACGACCACGGGGGCAACCUCAGUGUUGUACAUCCAUCGCGGAGGAGCCAUGCGUCUGAUCUAAGGCGUGCACCAUAGACGUAGUGUGAAACAGACCUGCCACCUUAUGCGUUUUUUGCGUGUCGUGACUUGACGCGCUAGAGGAUAUUCUUGCCGCGUCAUUUUCGAUCUCGGUUGAUUUGAUGUGGCAGUAAGGUCACAGUACUUUCACAAGAAUUAGAGGCACGUUAGACUCGAAAUAAAAUAUAGUUUUUAAACAAGAAAAAAGUAAUAUACAUGUAGUUAUACUAGAACCUUCUGCAAUGCAAAAGUCGUCGUUCAUCUGAUAAAGUCAGUGAUUGAACUUUGAGAGAAAAAAGAAUGUUAACUGUGAGAGAUACUAGCAACGACAGAUUAUGGCUUAUCUCUGUUUAACAUAUACGCAAUAGAUUUUUUAUCUCCCGUAAUUGCAAUUGUUCAAUCGGGACUCGGAUUACUCGCAUAGUCGUAGAUCACUCGGGGCUCAAAGAACUCACAUAAUUACGAAUAGCGAAAAAUUAAACAUCACUCGAGUGAAUGUUUCGAUCGAUGGACGAUAAAUCGUAAACCUUGUCUGUAAUUGGAUCUAUUUAAUGGUAUUUGUAAAUAAUUAUUUCCCGUGAGCAAUAAGUGAAAUAAUGUAAAGAAGAAAAGUUCAGGAUCUAAUUUGGACGAUGCAGUUACAAAGGCUAGUAAAUUUAUUUAUUUAUUAGUUAUUUUUGCAAAUGAAAAUUGCCCGAUUUAUGGGCACUGAGAUACUAGCGCCACGUAGCGACAAAUCUGUGGAACUAGUCGCUGUCGUUCCUUUUUCUACGACGAUGCUGCCAUCUAUGUUUAAUCAAACAGCGUCGAUAAAUUUCAAACAUAAAAAAACAGGUUAGGUGCCAUCUAUCGGGUCCUGACAAAAUUUUCUGUUUAAAUCACUUUCGACAGAUGGCAGCACAUAGCAUAUUCUAGUCACGUUUUCAAAAACUACCCGAUCAAAACUCGUAUAGAUGGCAGCACCUUCGUACAAAAGAACGACAAGGAUAUAAAUAAUGGUUAGUUCCAGUGUUUCGUCGCUAGGCGGCGAAGUAAUUCAGUACAAAUUUAAUCGAGCAAAUUUCCAUUUGCAAAAAAAUUAAUUAAAACGAUUGAUUUGUGAACUUCUGUAAUUUGUAAUUUGCUGCUCCACGUUUCAGACCCAAAGCCUUUUCUCUUAUGUUUCAGUCAACCCAUAUAAACGAUUGCAAAUUCUAUUCAAUAAUAUUUACAUUUAGUUUAAGAGUUUAGUUAAAAGAUGUCAUUACAUUUCUGCAAAUUAUAUCCAAUGUAUAACUUUUUUGAUAGAACUAUUAUAACUUCAUUUUAGAACUAUUAUUAUAUUACAAUCAUUAUCAUUCAUAAUGAAAACCAAAGUAAUCGUGAGAUUGCUUGAAUCAAACAUAUUGUUUGUAAACUUUUAUUGCAAAAUGAAUUAACAUAUAGUACAAGAUUUAUAUUUGUAAACUAAA